rnacentral:rRNA from 1 species
UAUCGGAUUGGUACUAAGCCAUGCGAGUCAUUGUAGCAAUACAAGGCGGACGGCUCAGUAACACGUAGUCAACCUAACUCGUGGACGUGGAUAACCUCGGGGAACUGAGAAUAAACCACGAUAGAUCAUAGUGCCUGGAAUGGCUUAUGGUCCAAACAGUUUACUGCCAUGGGAUGGGACUGCGGCCUAUCAGCUUGUUGGUGAGGUAAUGGCCCACCAAGGCGAUUACAGGUACGGGCUCUGAGAGGAGAAGCCCGGAGAUGGGUACUGAGACACGGACCCAGGCCCUAUGGAGCGCAGCAGGCGAGAAACCUUAGCAAUGUGCGAAAGCACGACUGGGUCAGUCCGAGUGAUUCCUGAUAAAGGAGUCUUUUGCCUGUCCUAAAAGCACAGGUGAAUAAGGGGUGGGCAAGUCU